rnacentral:tRNA from 1 species
GCGCCGGUGGUGGAAAUGGUAGACACAGUAGCCUUGUAAACUACUGACCUGGGAGGGUCAUACGGAUUCGAUUUCCGUCCGGCGCA